UACGUAGGCAGCAAGCGUUGUUCGGAGUUACUGGGCGUAAAGGGUGCGUAGGCGGCUUCUUAAGUCUGGUGUGAAAUCUCCCGGCUCAACUGGGAGGGUGCGCCGGAUACUGAGGGGCUAGAGUGUGGGAGAGGAAAGUGGAAUUCCAGGUGUAGCGGUGAAAUGCGUAGAUAUACUGGAGGAACACCGGUGGUGUAAACGGCUUUCUGGACCAUUACUGACGCUGAUGCACGAAAGCGUGGGUAGCAAACAGG
rnacentral:rRNA from 1 species